rnacentral:rRNA from 1 species
GACGAACGUUGGCGGCGUGCUUAAUACAUGCAAGUCAACUGAAGCAGUGGUAGCAAUAUCGCUGUGGAGGUGGCGCACGGGUGAGUAACACGUAGGUAAUCUGCCUUCAGGUCUGGCAUAACUCCGGGAAACCGGGGCUAAUAGCAGAUGAUGCAGCGGCUCGACAUCGAGACAGUUGUUAAAGCUAUGGCGCCUGAAGAUGAGCCUGCGUCUGAUUAGCUAGUUGGCGGGGUAACGGCCCACCAAGGCAACGAUCAGUAGCUGGUCUGAGAGGAUGAUCAGCAACACUGGAACUGAGACACGGUCCAGACUCCUACGGGAGGCAGCAGUAAGGAAUAUUGCUCAAUGGGAGAAAUCCUGAAGCAGCAACGCCGCGUGAGGGACGAAGGGCGUUUGCUUGUAAACCUCUGUAGUGAGAGAAAAAAAUCCCAAUCUUUGGGACAUGAUGGUAUCUCAAAAGUAAGCCCCGGCUAACUACGUG